CCUACGGGAGGCAGCAGUGAGGAAUAUUGGUCAAUGGCCGGAAGGCUGAACCAGCCAAGCCGCGUGAAGGACGAAGGUGCCAAGCAUUGUAAACUUCUUUUGUCAAGGGACAAAAUCAGGCUCGAGAGCCUGACCGAGGGUACUUGAAGAAAAAGCAUCGGCUAACUCCGUGCCAGCAGCCGCGGUAAUACGGAGGAUGCGAGCGUUAUCCGGAUUUAUUGGGUUUAAAGGGUGCGUAGGCGGACUGUUAAGUCAGCGGGAAAAGCCCGGGGCUCAACCCCGGCGAGCCGUUGAAACUGGGUGUCUUGAGAUGUCGAGAGGUAUGCGGAAUGCGCGGUGUAGCGGUGAAAUGCUUAGAUAUUGCGCAGAACUCCGAUUGCGAAGGCAGCAUACCGGCGGCGAUCUGACGCUGAGGCACGAAAGCGUGGGUAUCGAACAGGAUUAGAUACCCCGGUAGUC
rnacentral:rRNA from 1 species